GGGGAGUGGCGCACGGGUGAGUAACACGUGGGAACCUGCCUAUCGGUUCGGAACAACGUUUGGAAACGAACGCUAAUACCGGAUAUUCCCUCAGGGGGAAAGAUUUAUCGCCGAUAGAGGGGCCCGCGUCCGAUUAGGUAGUUGGUGGGGUAAUGGCCUACCAAGCCGACGAUCGGUAGCUGGUCUGAGAGGAUGAUCAGCCACACUGGGACUGAGACACGGCCCAGACUCCUACGGGAGGCAGCAGUGGGGAAUAUUGGACAAUGGGCGCAAGCCUGAUCCAGCAAUGCCGCGUGAGUGAUGAAGGCCUUAGGGUUGUAAAGCUCUUUCGCACGUGACGAUGAUGACGGUAACGUGAGAAGAAGCCCCGGCUAACUUCGUGCCAGCAGCCGCGGUAAUACNAAGGGGGNUAGCGUUGUUCUNAAUUACUGGNUGUAUUGGUUGCGUAUNCGGCCCGAUCNNUCAAAAGUGAAAGCCCCGGCNU
rnacentral:rRNA from 1 species